UCCUUAAUAGCUCAGUGGUAGAGCAAUCGGCUGUUAACCGAUCGGUCGUAGGUUCGAAUCCUACUUAAGGAG
rnacentral:ncRNA from 12 species